rnacentral:tRNA from 1 species
GGAGAGAUGCUCGAGUGGUUGAAGAGGCACGCCUGGAAAGCGUGUAAACCUCUAAAGGGUUUCGCGAGUUCGAAUCUCGCUCUCUCCG